UGGGGAAUAUUGGACAAUGGGCGAAAGCCUGAUCCAGCCAUGCCGCGUGUGUGAAGAAGGUCUUCGGAUUGUAAAGCACUUUAAGUUGGGAGGAAGGGCAUUAACCUAAUACGUUAGUGUUUUGACGUUACCGACAGAAUAAGCACCGGCUAACUCUGUGCCAGCAGCCGCGGUAAUACAGAGGGUGCAAGCGUUAAUCGGAAUUACUGGGCGUAAAGCGCGCGUAGGUGGUUUGUUAAGUUGGAUGUGAAAUCCCCGGGCUCAACUUGGGAACUGCAUUCAAAACUGACUGACUAGAGUAUGGUAGAGGGUGGUGGAAUUUCCUGUGUAGCGGUGAAAUGCGUAGAUAUAGGAAGGAACACCAGUGGCGAAGGCGACCACCUGGACUAAUACUGACACUGAGGUGCGAAAGCGUGGGGAGCAAACA
rnacentral:rRNA from 1 species